AGAGUUUGAUUAUGGCUCAGGACGAACGCUGGCGGCGUGCUUAACACAUGCAAGUCGAGCGGUAAGGCCCUUCGGGGUACACGAGCGGCGAACGGGUGAGUAACACGUGAGCAACCUGCCCCUGACUCUGGGAUAAGCCCGGGAAACCGGGUCUAAUACCGGAUACGACACGCCUCCGCAUGGGUGGUGUGUGGAAAGUUUUUUCGGUUGGGGAUGGGCUCGCGGCCUAUCAGCUUGUUGGUGGGGUGAUGGCCUACCAAGGCGGUGACGGGUAGCCGGCCUGAGAGGGCGACCGGCCACACUGGGACUGAGACACGGCCCGGACUCCUGCGGGAGGCAGCAGUGGGGAAUCUUGCGCAAUGGGCGGGAGCCUGACGCAGCGACGCCGCGUGGGGGAUGACGGCCUUCGGGUUGUAAACCUCUUUUACCACUGAAGCAGGCCAGGGUUUUUGCUCUGGUUGACGGUAGGUGGGGAAUAAGGACCGGCUAACUACGUGCCAGCAGCCGCGGUAAUACGUAGGGUCCGAGCGUUGUCCGGAUUUAUUGGGCGUAAAGAGCUCGUAGGCGGCGUGUCGCGUCUGCUGUGAAAGCCCGGGGCUUAACUCCGGGUGUGCAGUGGAUACGGGCAUGCUUGAGGUAGGUAGGGGAGACUGGAAUUCCUGGUGUAGCGGUGAAAUGCGCAGAUAUCAGGAGGAACACCGGUGGCGAAGGC
rnacentral:rRNA from 1 species